rnacentral:rRNA from 1 species
UUGCCCUACGGGGGGCAGCAGUGAGGAAUAUUGGUCAAUGGCCGUAAGGCUGAACCAGCCAAGUAGCGUGAGGGAAGACUGCCCUAUGGGUUGUAAACCUCUUUUAUGCGGGGAUAAAGGUGUCCACGUGUGGAUGUUUGCAGGUACCGCAUGAAUAAGGACCGGCUAAUUCCGUGCCAGCAGCCGCGGUAAUACGGAAGGUCCGGGCGUUAUCCGGAUUUAUUGGGUUUAAAGGGUGCGCAGGCGGGCUGUUAAGCCGGCGGUAAAAAUUCAGG